UGGAGGCCCAGCGCUUGCAAAUAUCUUCUCCUCCCAAGAAUUCGAAUGAAUCCACAGGAGUAGGUGAUGGAGGCCAAGACUGCCUUCUCACAACCAGCCAGGCACCCCAGCAAGGCCAAGGCCACUGUGGCUCCUUCCAGAAAAAGCAAGUUGGCCCCUAAAUCCCCAC